UAGCCUAGUGGUUAAGGCUAUGGAUCACCAAUCCGGAGAAGGCGGGUUCAAUUCCCGU
rnacentral:tRNA from 1 species